GGAUAACCUGCCCUUAGGACUGGCAUAACCCCGGGAAACUGGGGAUAAUUCCGGAUAGUUCAUGGUAGCUGGAAUGCUCCAUGAUCGAAAGCUAUUGCGCCUAAGGAUGGGUCUGCGGUCUAUCAGGUAGUAGUGGGUGUAAUGUACCUACUAGCCGACGACGGAUACGGGUUGUGGGAGCAAGAGCCCGGAGAUGGAUUCUGAGACAUGAAUCCAGGCCCUACGGGGCGCAGCAGGCGCGAAAACUUUACAAUGCGGGAAACCGCGAUAAGGGGACACCGAGUGCCAGCAUCUUAUGUUGGCUGUCCGCAUGUAUAAAUCACAUGUGUUAGCAAGGGCCGGGCAAGACCGGUGCCAGCCGCCGCGGUAACACCGGCGGCCCGAGUGGUGGCCACUAUUAUUGGGUCUAAAGGGUCCGUAGCCGGUUUGGUCAGUCUUCCGGGAAAUCUGACGGCUUAACCGUUAGGCUUUCGGGGGAUACUACCAGGCUUGGGACCGGGAGAGGUAAGAGGUACUACGGGGGUAGGAGUGAAAUCUUGUAAUCCUCGUGGGACCACCAGUGGCGAAGGCGUCUUACCAGAACGGGUCCGACGGUGAGGGACGAAAGCUGGGGGCACGAACCGGAUUAGAUACCCGGGUAGUCCCAGCCGUAAACUAUGCUCGCUAGGUGUCAGGGACGGUGCGACCGUUUCUGGUGCCGCAGGGAAGCCGUGAAGCGAGCCACCUGGGAAGUACGGUCGCAAGGCUGAAACUUAA
rnacentral:rRNA from 1 species